rnacentral:rRNA from 1 species
CCCUUAGAUGUUCUGGGCCGCACGCGCGCUACACUGACGAUGGCAACGAGUUUUUCCUUCGCCGAAAGGUGUGGGUAAUCUUUUGAAACAUCGUCGUGCUGGGGAUAGAUCAUUGCAAUUUUUGAUCUUGAACGAGGAAUUCCUAGUAAGCGCGAGUCAUCAGCUCGCGUUGAUUACGUCCCUGCCCUUUGUACACACCGCCCGUCGCUACUACCGAUUGAAUGGUUUAGUGAGGACUCCUGAUUGGCGCUGCCGCCCCGGCAACGGAGCAGCGGACUGCCGAAAAGUUGUUCAAACUUGAUCAUUUAGAGGAAGUAAAAGUCGUAACA